GGGCUUGUGGUUCAGUGGUAGAGCCCUCACCUCACAUGUGUGGGACCCUGGGUUCGAUCCUCAGCACCA
rnacentral:tRNA from 1 species